ensembl:lncRNA
CAUAACUAAGCAUAAGUGGACGACGUAAGUGAUUUAUGGGCAGAAUCCCUCCAAUCAUCGUGUUGACCAGUCAGCGCCAGUUCACUAACCAACACGAUUGAUCUGGACUCAAGCUGUAGGCCUACCAGUCAGAUGAGUAACUCAGUGGAGGAGGUGAGACACCAUAUCAAUACUUUAAACAUCUGUUCAUGCAACAUUGGUGAGUUAAUCACCAUUAAAUACGAUCAGAUGAGACCAAUGUGUUCAUGAAAGGGACCCUCCAUGGAGAGAAUGGCAAUUUAGGAGAACGAUAUUACUUUAUUUAUGCAAAAUAUGUGGGAUUUACAACAGUUAAUGGGCUGCUCUAUAACUGUUGACUUUGAUAUAUUCAGUAUUACCUAGAAUGUGUUACGGUUGUAGUUAAGGUUGUUUAUCU